UAGCUACGAGGUGAUCGGCUGUCUGCUGUCAAGCACUCCUGCAAUGAUGUACCGUGGUACCACAGAGUCAAUCAAGAGGGCCGAGAGACUUUGGACUGAAUCCUCUGAAAUCAGCCAUCGGUAUGAAAAAAGUGAGGUGAACCAUUCACUUGAGUGCUUCCAGAAAGAAAAUUUCCAUCUCAACAUUGUCAGCCUCUCCUCUUUCUCACGUGGCAUUGCUGGGGUGGACACUUGUACUGCCGUGGUAAGAAUCUACUCUAUAGCAAGGUUUGGAGCCUGCCUCUUUCUAAUCAUUUGAGAGUGGAUGCAGCUUCUUCAGUCAUCUAUACCCAGAUAACUAAGGCCUGAGCCGGUUUCACAGAACAAUCACAGGACAUGGGGCCCCAGUACACACUAUGACAGCACCUCCAUCUGACACGGCUUUGACAUAGCCCUGCAGAGGAAGCCCAGCUCCAAUUCGAUCCAGGGACUUUCAGCUUUUCUGAAGCAGAGCAGCUGGAUUCCCUACCUUACCGAGCUUUUCUAGCCAGCAGAGAGGUGCUCUUCCUGCUCCUGGAUAUGGAAAUCCCUCCUGGACAACAAGCCGGGAAGGCGUCCUCAAGUGAAUUUGAUCACCAAAACCCUUUUAUAAAGGAUAACCUCAUAGAAUUCAUGUCUGAAGAUCAACUUUCAGAAGUCAAACUUUUAAGAUGACAAAUACUUGGGUGUAGAGCAGAAUUCCAGUCAACGCGAUCUCCAAACACAGCCCUGGUGGGGGAGGCUGCGGAGUGUGCCCCGACCUUUCCCUGCGUGGGAGUGGAUACGUCCUACAGCUGCUUCGCAUGGUAACCAGCGCCUGUGAGCCUUCUGGAGGCUGUUAAUGUAUUUCAGAAGGAGAGCCCGGUCUAAUGUUUAGAGGAAGUUCUCGGGGCCUUCUACUGUAAAGUUACUCAUUAAACACCCUUUUCCCAGAGUGACUCUCACGUGCUAAGCCACGCACAUUGUGUGCGAGCUUGGGUUCCGGAGAUAUGCAUUUCAAAAGCAGUUUUAGUGGUUAUUGCUACCUUUAGACGCAUAAAAAAAUGACAUAUUAAAACACAACUUCUUUUAAGUCAAGGAGCCCAAGCAGUGUGACCAGAAUCACUGAAAUCCACCAAAAGGGCAUGUUACAGGUAGAGGUAUUUUAGUAUUUUUCAGAAUAAACUCUCCUUUAUUCUUUCUGUUCUGGUUGUCUUUUAAAUUGCUUGAAGGAUUAACCCAGCUCUUGGCAACACAGCCGGUUAAUAUUUUCUUCGCCAUCAUGUGCUAGAAUCCCGCUUAUGACACUUUACCCCAAAAUACCAUCAAGUUCUUCAGUGAAAAACUCCAGAGGGAGCGAAAGACAUCUUCCUGACAGUCAUUAUCUGCUAAGCUAUAUCAAAAUUGCAUUAGCAGGACCUUGUCCUCUAAAAUUGGAACUGAUAUAAAGGUACUAUAGACAUAGUUUCUAAUUAGAAAACAAUGUGUUUUCGCUGACUUCUAAGCCUAGAAAAAUAUUUCAGUGAAUAAGUUGCACUCUAGAUUAGUUUAGUUCUGAUUUUAAACCAGUUUCAUUCAUGGGUCUCAACUAAGUUUAUUGAUGUUUCACACUCCUUCUAAAAUAUGACGCACACGUGGCUUUUCCUGCACUGGUAGCUCAGUGCCUGGCCCCCUUGCUAUUUAUCUUGUCACACUGUUUCAGUUGUGGGGCCCCACGAUUCUACUGGGCAGAGUCGCCUUGAUAUCCUACACAAAAUUGGUGGCUCUUCUGGAGAUUGGCCAAAGGAAGUUAGUCUUUCUGUGCUUCUAUCUGUAUCUGUUAUCCAACCAUUAACCUUUGGAUUAAACCAGUAUGUUAUUAACUUUUUUUGUGUGUUUUCAAUUCUGCAG